CCUCCUUAUUGACAUCCUCUCCUCCCUUGGCUUCUGAGACACUCUAUUCUGGUUUUCCAUGGGCUUGGCCACCUGGCUCAUUAUGCCUCUGAGGAAGGAGGUGGAGAGUUGGGUGAGUGCCUGAAGGAAAAGCCCAUCUAGACAGAGGAGCAGCCAGCUGAGUGCCACAGUCUAGGAAGGAGAGUGAGGAACUGGAAACUGUUCAGAAGAAAGAAAACAGAAUACUGAAUCUUCAAAUCCAUUCCAUGAUUAGGGCAGAGAGAGAUUGCAGGUGACUGAGAAAUUGAAGAAUAAAGUCGCAUUCCAGAGAUGUCAAAUUGAUUGCCCUCGAUUGCCUCAGUUUCCCCAUGUAUUAAAAAAGGACCUGGAGAAGGAAAUGGCAAACUAUUCCAAUAUCUUGGCCAGGAAAACCCUUUGAAGAGUCAGACACAAAUGAAAAGUGACUGAAUAACAGCAAUAACACAUAACCCCAAAGACUGAACUAAUGGCAGGAUCUUAAGACAUGGAGCCAAGCUACUGG
rnacentral:lncRNA from 1 species